UUAAACUUAAACUAUUGGUACUGAUAAUAGUAAGUUAGAAUGAUGAUAAAGAUGAGUAACAGGUGAGUAACAGGUGAGUAAGGAUGAGUAAAUGAGUCAAUUAUGGAAAAAAAUGAAUGAAAAGUUGAGAAAUUAAACUUAAACUAUUGGUACUGAUAAUAAUGAGUAAGAAUGAUGAUAAAGAUGAGUAACAGGUGAGUAACAGGUGAGUAAGGAUGAGUAAAUGAGUCAAUUAUGGACAAAAAUGAAUGAAAAGUUGAGAAAUUAAACUUGAACUAUUGGUACUGAUAAUGAUGAGUAAGAAUGAUGAUAAAGAUGAGUAACAGGUGAGUAAGGAUGAGUAAAUGAGUCAAUUAUGGACAAAAAUGAUGAGAAAUGAAUACUAAUAAUGAUAAUAACUAAAACCAUGAAUAAUUAAUGCGAAAAAAGUGACAAUAUGAGUAAACACAAUGAGUAAGGAUGAAUAUAUGAGUAAAUUACGGUCAAUAGUUAGCUAGUAUUUCAUGAAUUAAUUAAUACUUAUAAUGAGUUUAACGAUGAGAAUGAGUAUGAGCAAUUCCAAUAAGAGAAAACUGAGUAAUGAUGAGUAAAUGAGUAAAUUAUGGCCAAAAAAAUUAUAUUGAGAAAAAAAUGAGUAAAAUAUGAAAAAAUACGAGGAAAUUUUACAAGAGCGAGUGAAAUAUAUAGACAAACAUGAGUAAACGAUGAGGAAAUAUGAAUAAUGAUGAGUAAAUUAAUAAAAAUGAACCGAAAUAAAAAAAAAAGAAUGAAAGGAGAGAGAGAGAGAGAGAGAGAGAGAGAGAGAGAGAGAGAGAGAGAGAGAGAGAGAGAGAAAGGUCAAAAUCUAAAUAAAAUAAAGGAAGAGAGAGAGAGAGAGAGAGAGAGAGAGAGAGAGAGAGAGAGAGAGAGAGAGAGAGAGAGAGAGAGAGA